rnacentral:misc_RNA from 1 species
UGUGGGAGCGGGCUUGCUCGCGAUGGUAUCGCUGCGGUCAGCCAAAUGCACCGCGCCGCCCAUAUCGCGAGCAAGCCCGCUCCCACA